rnacentral:tRNA from 1 species
GCCCAGGUGGUGGAAUUGGUAGACACAAGGGACUUAAAAUCCCUUGAACAUUUUGUUCGUGAGGGUUCAAGUCCCUCCCUGGGCA